ACGGGUGAGUAACACGUAUCCAACCUGCCGUCUACUCUUGGACAGCCUUCUGAAAGGAAGAUUAAUACAAGAUGGCAUCAUGAGUCCGCAUGUUCACAUGAUUAAAGGUAUUCCGGUAGACGAUGGGGAUGCGUUCCAUUAGAUAGUAGGCGGGGUAACGGCCCACCUAGUCUUCGAUGGAUAGGGGUUCUGAGAGGAAGGUCCCCCGCAUUGGAACUGAGACACGGUCCAA
rnacentral:rRNA from 1 species